GCGGUGCUUAGACAUCAGUGCUUUACACCUUUCCUAGCAUGACUGUAGUGACUUUCCUGUUCCAGCAUCUUUGAUGUCCUUGACAAAAAUACCUAUCAGGACUUGAAGUGCCACCAUUGUGCUCAUUCACUGUUAUGCCACCAGCAGCUACAGUUUUCCUUCCACAAUACUUGAUAUGCAUUGUGAAAUAGUGUGCUAUGGGUUAUGUUACAAGUAAAAAAUUUUUGAAAACUUAUAUUUCAGCUGUUUGACAAGCAAGUUUUUUUCCAAAGUAAUAAGAACAGGUUUGUGUCCAAACACAUCUUAAACCCCUUUAUUUACAAUCACAUGAGUAAAAAAAAAAUCUUUUCGGCAUACAACUUCUUAUUUGAGUUCUAACAGAUGAGAUUCUGUUCAAACCGUAGCACUGUGGCUGUGAUGGACACAGAACAGGGCAAAGCAUAUCUGGUUUUCAACCUGAGAGGAAAUUUUCCCCCUACCCUGUCCCCCUCAAAAAUGUUUUCAAGAGAAGAUCAGACACAGGUUUUUAAUGCCUGGGGAAAAACAAAACAUGACCCACGAUAGAUUUAGGCACUUCCAUUUUUGCUUACUAUUUUUAAAAGCAUACAUGUUAUUUAAAAAUAAUUAGGCUGAGCCAGUUUAUGUGCAAUGUAUAUAUUGCACAUAUGUCUAGAGGAAACCAGAAACAGGGUUGUAUAAUUGUAACCUUACUGCACUGAAGGCCUGGCAUAAUUACCAUUGAGAGAGAGAAAGCCAAGGAGAUUUUAUCUGUCAUAUUUAUUUCCCCAUGUAAAUAUAUUAAAACCAAACAAAAAUAAACUUUUGAUUCACAGCUUGACCCAGUUUAUAUAGUGUGCAUUUCAUUCUUUAUUAUUAUUAUUAUUAAUAAUAAUUUCCCACAUACUCAUGUGCAGUACAGCACUUGAGAUGGCAAUCUGGAAGGCUGAUUUUUUCAGCUGCUGCAAAUUUCUUCUGUUGCUGAUGAAAAAAAGGCAUCUUCAAAUAUGCACAGGAAUAAUUAAUGGGUUUUAUCUCUGAGUGGCAAGUGACGCUGCAUGGGGCAAAAGUACUUUUUACUGUUUAAAUGUGAGCAUGGGCAUCUGCGUAGCCUUUUGGCCCUUUAAAAAGAAGUAAGUCAGUAUAAUAAGGCUGUUGUCAAUGUGUAAUAUAGGUAAUAUGUGUAAUAUGUAAUGAAUCAUGGGACUGAAUGUGAGGAAGAAAGUCUAUUGAGUCGAGAUAUCCCAGAGGCUUUGGUCUGGCACGUGACUGAUGUUUCUCUGUAUCCUCGGAUUCAACACCAAGGCCAACUUCACUCGCAAAGAAAAGAUCCAGUUAAAUAAAGACCAUAUGAACCCUGCUAAAAUAAUACAGUUUGAGUAAAUCAAUGCCUUAAGACUUUCUUACAAGUAUAUUAAGAAAUUCACUGGAAGGGAACAGUGCAUUUCAAGUGAGUACCAGUUAGGGACUUUAACACGCUCCACUCUAUCUUUGUGAUCUUGCAGGAGGUGGGAUAGAUUUUCUCCACACAGAGCACACGUUUUCAUUUUUGCAGCACAUUGUAAACACACUUUUCAUACUAAUGCCUUGUUUUGUUUCGGUUCUUUUCAAAGAUUAUGCAUUAGUAAUUUGUGCAUCACAUGUUGGCAAGCGGAAUCACAGUGUAUUAUGCACACUACUAAUGUGAGACAGAAACCUCAGCAUAUUCUAGCUCUCUUCUCAUAUCUUGUUAGCAUCUGUUUGUGGUAGGCUGGGAUGAUGAGGUGCUAAUAUGAUACAGUGAAGGAAGUGUAAUCCAUGAACAUUUUUGUGUCACAUUUGUGUAAUAUAUUACACUAAUCCAACCAGACUUUCAUGUGCUCUUGCCCAAGGAAUGCCAUUCCAGCCUCGUCCCUUCCCCCAUCAAUGCCUUUGAAGGUUUGUGAAUGAUUUCCUGUACACAGGCUGUAUAAGAAUGUGCUCGCAUUCUUUCUCCCAUUGAGGAAGGAGUUCUUUAUAUGCCCACUUGCUUUCAGGGUAACAAUGAACAUGAACAAAUUCAUGAACAAAUUACUCUAAGGAGGGAGGCAUGUUCAAUUUUACUCUUCUUUCUCAGCUUAGAGGUAAAUGAAGUAGAAGGUGCACUCUUUCCAAUAAGCAUAAGAUCCAUUCAGAGUGUUUGGUGCAGUGUCUAGGGGCUGUUUUUGAACAGAACCUUUCUGCAGCAGCAGUCUGCAGUUUGCACUGCAGUAAGCAGGAUGUCUGAACUGACAGCCAUGGUCUCCUCCCAGGAGAUACCAUCAACCAGUGCCACCCUGCAGACUGGUUCAAAUUUUUCACCUUGUUGGCCAUAUGCAACUUACUAGGUCUACUUUUCCUAUCCAUGAUAAUUUUUGCCCUGGAUUGUUCUUCAGGUGAUAUCUACAUCUUUCUAUUUAGGUGCUUAUGUAGGGUUAGCACACUGGGAUCCUACUCUGAUUGGAACUUCUUGCCAGUUCUGUGAUAGAAAUAAAUACAGUAGCAAAAUGAAAUCAUAAACUCCAAAAUUUCAUUAUAGUUAGAGUAUAUAAUUUUACAUCUUGCCUCCUGAUUCAGGAAGCAAAAGCCCAGCAAAAAUCUGGAUGGAAAACAUGAAAUUAGAAAGUCAUCAUGGUUUUGGCAAGUAACUGGGUAUUUCUCCUCUUUGUGUAGCCUCAGCCUCAGUUAGAAUUUAUAAGGAGUAGUGUAAGAAAGAUAACCAGUAGUGAAAUCUGACUGUACUGUGGAGUCAUAUGAUACUAGAAUGCCCCGACAUCCUUUGUAUGGUGUAACUCUUUAGGUUGGUCAUCCUAUAACUUCCCAAGUGCUACAUGCAUUGCAAGUUCACAGCUUGACUAUCCCUGUGGUGGACAAUGCAACAGGUGCUCCUUCUACCAUAGGAAAAUACAUAUUUUUUUUUUGGCUGGUAUUUUUGCCCAUUAGAGAUGCUGCAGCUUCAGGAAACAAUGUCUCAACAGCCUUGGCAAUAUGGGGAAGACUAUUCCUGUUGGAAAAGCAAGGAGAAAGUGGGUGCACAUGUUCUAAUAAAUUAGGAAGUGUCUGUAAAAUUUCAUAGCUCUAAAAUGCAGUCUUGUACACUGCCAAGUUGUUGACAUGCUUUGCCUUGUACUAAAUAACAUUUCUUGAGCAAGUCUCAAACAACAGCCACAAAAUUAUUUUGGACAACUUACUCAGCCCAAGAUGAUUAGCAGACUUCUGCUUUGGACUACAAGCAGCUCUUUGAAUUCCUUCCCUGGUAGAUCCUGCUUGAUUAGCUUUUGAGUUUUUAUAUUUUACCAGAUAUGGCAGGAAGAAGAUUGACUUCAGGUGUCAUCAUUCAUUGCAAAGUGAAAGUGGGUUUAAAAUUAUUUCUCUUUUUGUUUUGAGCCAAAAUUGGGUAGUAUUAUAUCUGAAUUACUUGGAGAAUAUUUGUCUAGAAUAGCACAGCAUGGCAGCAUAGCAUCUUAAAGUGUCAAAUUACCUGAGUGUAAACCUCUGCAUUCUAUGUCCAAACUGUGGUCCUAUGAUGCUUCUCAGCUUUGUUCCCUGAGUCACAUUCAAACUCAUCCACAAUUCAGGUUAGAAUGAUACCAAGCUGCACACGAUCUCCUCUUGAGCCUUGGUGGGCUUUCUGUUUGCUUGGUUGUUUGGAUUUUCUUUUACUCAUGAAAAAGAACCAAACCAACACCACAAUGCAGAGUGACAAAGAGACGUGAUGGUUUUCCUGUCCUGGACAGUGACCAGAGUCACUGGUUGUGCCAUGCAGCACUUUUGUCCUCAAAACAGGCAUAGAUAUUGUAAAGCAAAGACAAGCCAUGCUCACCUCUUCCCUAAGCAAGCAAGCUGAACAUUGUAGUAUUUUUGUUUCAUGAAGCAUAAUAAUAUUAGUUAUGAGAAUUAACCUCACAGAAGAAUGACAUAAACCUCAAGUGCUUGAGGGUAAUGUUGAUGUAAAAAAGAUGAGUAUAUACAAACAGUGCAUUAACUUGUCAUUACAAUAUGGAAAAAUAAUGCAUUUUUAUUUCAUGUACCGACUUCCUAUUGAUGUGAUGAGGAUUUGAGCAUAGUUAGUUUACUGAAUGUACUGGUAAAGCAAAGAUGAAUAAAAUUAAAAUAAAGGAUGUAUAAAUUGUAAAACAGGAAAAAAUGGAAUAGACAGAAUCUUUCAGAGUCCCAUGAGCUGUUCUUAAAACAUUUUUUCUCUAAGAAUUACUCUUUUACUCAUGUCUUUCCCUGACAACAUUAUGCUUUUUAUCUCAUUUUAAUAAAAAGAUAGCAUUUGAGAGUAUCUCAGAAUCCAGCAUCUCAGCCUCUGCCUUUGUUGUUUAAAUUACAAAAAGAAAGGGAAGAAAAGAAAAGCCAAAAUCCAAACCCAAAGCCUUUCAAGGGAACCUGAUCAAUGUGUUUUGGGCCUCUGCUUUAUGAUUCAAAGCUUCCUCAACAGCCAUUAAAAUCAGGAAUCUUGAUCAUCCAUUCCAAAAAAAAGCCAUUGUAGCAGGACUCCAGUGCAAUAACAGAGAACCAAACUUUAUCUGAUGCUAUCUGUUGUGAAGUGGAGGUUUAACAAUAGGAAAAGGUGCUACCCCCAGGCUUUCCCUGAGCCACUGUGUGCCUCUUUUCUCUCAUCUUGCAGAAGACUUUAAAGCCAGAGCAUUCCCAAGAGGUCAAGUGUUGGGCUAUUGAGACUAUAAAGAUCUUGUGACCUCUCAGAAGGCCUCUCCAGGCCAUGUGCCACAAGCAAAGGAGAAAAAUGAAGACAGGAAGACUCUUCAUUUUAGAAAGAUGCUGGAGGGAUGGAACUGAGUUGGUAGGGAAUUGCCUAGAAGGAAGAGGUGCUUAUUCUUCAGAUACCAAAGAGAUGCUAUCAUGGCUGCCCAGCUGAGAGUUUUGUAGCAGGAAUGAACUUUCUUCAAUAUUUAUAAAUGCUUUGGAAGGAUUGUAUUGUUUCUUUUGUAAGGUUUCCAGUGAAGAUAGUGAAAAUUGUUGUUUUAUCUGGGAAAACAACGUUUGUUUGCACUUUCAGUUUGUUACUUUUACUCUCCUGUUAAUAAUAUGUAUCUGGGGAAGGAAAUGUUUUAUCCCAAUGUCUGCUUUCUUGGUAUUUGAUUCUAAAAGCUACACUUUAUGUGGCAAGAAUUGGCAAAUGCUUUUUCCAGAUACUGGGAGAAAAUGAGACCCUUUUUGGCCAUCUAAAAAUUUGAAAAGACAUGCUUUUACCGUAAUGAAAAAAUGUAGGUGCACAUGGAACAGAGAUAUUACACUGAUAAAUUAAAUUAUUUUAUUUCUGAUCAGCAUAAUCAUUUGCUGGAGGCAGCCAGAAUUAAGGGUAGCUGUGGACCAAAGGUCUGUAUUAAAGUCUGAAUUUCCUACAUGUUGCUGUUCUGUGACAUCUGACUGGGAAUAGAGAAGAAUUAGUUUAUUAUCUCUACAAGCUCUUUGCUGAUAACCAAGGCCUGUUUUAAAGAUUAAGCCUGUUUAAAUACAGUCACUGUUCAAAGCAUAGAGGCAGUCCUGUCUGCUGGGAGAGGAGACCUCUGGAAAUACAUCUGUAUCAUCUCUGAUGUUUGAGCACACUUUAGGAAAGGAGCCUCCUAAAAUUAUAAAAUUAUGGGUUCAUUAGCCGUACUAACUGUCAACAAAGGGUAAGUGAUUUGUUUAAACAAUCAAACACUACACUAAUUAGCAUUAUAAUACAACAUUCAGGAAGUCUUCAAGUCCCAUAAAUAUGUGUAAGACAUGGGAAAUUGGUCUUUUGGGGCUGACUCAAUAAUAGGGCAGUCCAGAUAAUUAAGUUUGUGCAGUAAAUGAAAUACAGUGUUAAGGGACUAGAUUAUAACACAUGCAGUCUUCAUUGGUGUAGAUUGGUGUCUGCUUGAAGGGCUAUUGAUAACCCAGCAUGAUGCAUAGGAAAUCUCAAAAAUAAAAUUUAAAGAUAGGAAGUUCAGAUAAGACAACAUCACAUUUUCCCUUAAAAAAAUGAAGAAAGGGUGAAACAAAAGUUUCAGUAUGAAAAAGUUGUUACUUAGAACCACUUUCUCACUGGAAAAACUGUAACAAAAAAAAAAAAAGAAAAGCAAAAGAAAAAAUAAAAUAAAUUGGUAGUUCUAUGUGUGAGCACUAAAAAAAUUUUGCAAACGUAUCUCUUCACUUAUCUUUUUAGAAUGAAAAUAAUGUGCUCUUCUAUAUAGAUGAAACAAGCAUAGAAAUAUCUGCAUUCAUAUAAUAUUUUAAUAUUUAUUUAUAGUAUAUAAUUUAUUAUGUAUUAUUUAUGUAGUUUAAAAUAUUUAUUUACAGUAAAAACCCAAACAUUUAUUGCUAAUAUUUUUCACAUUUGCUCAUUCAAACAAUGAAGAAAAGACAAUGUAAGGAGAAUACAGAAUGGUCAUAAAGGUGAAAAGAUUCCUAAUUCACUUGAAAUAAUGCACUUUAUUUCUUGUGAAUAAUGUUGCCCAGAAUAUAGAGGGAGUUCAAUCCAACUCAACUUUAUAUUUUGCAUUGCACUUGAUUGCUUCGUAGGAUGGCUCCAUAGGUCCAUAUUUUGUACACACACAAAAUAGGAUUCUCAAAGGGUAGAGUGAAAUUUUCACCUCAUGGUGCACAGGUCAGAAAUUAAGACCAAAUUGAAUAAUAUAGUUUUCUUGCUACAGCAAAUAUUGUUUACAUUUUUCUGUAAAUUUUAGCUUGUACUGUCCCAUUGAAAUAUUUGGAAGAAGUUGUUUGGCCUCAGUGGAAACAAUCCUCUCAGGAGUCUGUGAUCAGGUUUACAGGGCAGACAACCACAAUUUCUUCGUUAUGGUUUUGAUACAGAUUUUUGUGAUUUUUUUUCCAGGCUGGUUCAUUUUGAUCUCAAUGGAGCUAAGCAGCACAGUUACUCAAGCAAAAGGUACCAGGGUAAAAUUUAUAGAUCCUUGAAGAUGGCUAAGCAGAGCUGACACAGGAGCUGCUGAAGCACUCAAUGGGAGUAGGAUUGUAGGCACAAAAGAGAUCUAAGGCAGGAAGUUCUUACAGAGUUUCCUUCCUCAUAUUUAUGUCCCAAGAGUUUUGCUCAUUAUUCAAUACUCAGAGGCAAUCUAAUCACUGUUGGCAUCACUUAGCACUUCUGGGUUCAGUUUCCCAGUCUGCCACUUGCACUUAGAGUAAUUUUCUCUGGUCUCCUAGUUUAUUUAUUUUAAAUAAAACCUGUUUUGUUAUUUAUUCUGUUCACUUGAAUUGAGUAACAUUAAUUCAUUUAAAACAUUUACAUAAAAAAAUAAACCUUUUAUAUGUAGGAAGCUACCAAUUUAAUUUUAAGUAAAAUAGAAUAAUAUAUACUUCUCAGUAUAUUAUCUACUUGUAAAGUACAUAGACAACUGCAAUCAAAAUUAUGCACAAAUAUUUAUGUAAACAGAUAUAUGUGUCUAGAUUAUUUGAAAUUAAAUUUGUGCUUGUGAACAGACAAAAAAGUCACUUCUGACAUUAUGAUGAAAGUAAUAUAAUCUUUGCUGCUUUCUUCCUCAUUGAGUUGUGUAUUUUAAAUUAUCUAAUUUUUCUCUAAGACUUUAAGUGAGAAAAUGUCUUUGCCAGUCUCCAAAUUAAGAGUGAAUUUCCUUCUCAACGUGUUUGGUUAAAACAACCAUUGGCCUUCUACUCACCUCUGUUGGAGAAAAAUGUAUUUGUCCCAGAUGUAUGUAUAAAUGUAUCAUGCAUCCAGUAUUUCUCAUCAGGAAACUUAAGAUAUUGAGGACAUGAUUUUUAAAGUGUCUCUCGCCAGAUGUUCUUUGUGCUCAUUCUUACAUUUCUUUGACCAUCUCUAAACAUUUUGCUUUACGUGUUUCUGUGAGGAUCCCAUUCACAGGAAACUUCAAAAGCUCUGUACCAGUCCUCCUGUUGUAUAGGAUGCAAGGGGACCCGUCAUCUGAGCCAGCAUCCCUGCCACGAGCCGUUUAUUGCAACAAAAGGCUCAUCAUCAUCAUCAAGGUUCAUGAGACGGCUCGUCAUCAGUCACUCCUGGUGCAGAAGGUGUCAGAUCUACUGCUGGAGAACAAGGAUAAUUUGGACUUUGCUUUUUGAAAUGGAAAAAUGUCAGGGGCUGCAGACAGUCACCUGUAAAUUGGUUGAUGAUUUUCCACUUUUUUCAAAGUAAACUCUUGCUGUGAUCCUUUUUUUUCCCCCUAAUUUUGCCUUUGAAAGGCAAGCUGAUUUUAUCCAAUCAGGACAUUUUAGUUUACUCUCAUAUUUUAAAUUCCAAGGAAUUUUAUACUUUUAAAUUCUAGUUCUAGUUUGUAAUGCUUUUUUUUUUUUAUGAUGCUGUAAUUGAAAGGGCUGAGAAAUCAUUACUAUAGACAUUGGAAAUAUUUUUAUAGAAGUCUACAGUAAAUUAUAAGCCUGCCUGACACUGUCAUAUAUCUUUUAAGGGUUUGGCCUAAAUUUUGACAGUUUCAGCACUAAUGUUGGCAAGAACACAGCUGCAUGUUCUGACAAGAGAACAUCGAUUUAAAUCUUUAGUUUGGAUGGGAAUAAUUGUACAUGUUAUGCAAAUUCUCUUUUUCAUUUCUUUUUCUUCAUGAGUUUUUUGUAAAAUCUUUGGUUAUUGGUGUGUGAGCUUAUUGUUUUAUCCUUUAUUGCUGCACUAUUUCUGAUUUUUCUUCCCCGUAAAUAUAUUACUAAGCAAAAUUGAGACUUAUCUGUCACUGAGAAUUUAGGCAUGAUAUAUAGCACAUAUAUUGGGGGGAUUGUAUUUCUGGAGAUAAAGAUGUGAAAUACAGAAAGAACCCAUAUUUACAGUAAUCAUUUUUGAGGCAGGAAAAUAAGCCACCAUCUUGCAAGCACGUGCGUGACUCAUUUAACUGCAAGUAGUGUUUACUUUCAUUUACUUUAAACACAUGCUUAAAAUUAAGUAUGAUCAUAAGUGUUGAAGAAUCAGCACCUCCACAGAUAAAAGGGAAAGUGAGACAUGUAAGUUAUUUGCAUUCAGCUGAAGCAUUCAAUAUGGAGUCUCAUGAAAAUUGGACUGAAAAAUUAAUUCAGUUUGGUUUGAAUAUACACGCUCUUCUGUGGUUUGAAGAGUCUUCAAAGGAGUUUGGUAAACAGUUAAGUAGCAAGUACCAAACUAGGUUAAAGUGUCUAGUGAGGUACCACAGGGAUCUCUAUUAGGUUUUAUUUAUUUAAGUGUCUUUAAGAACUAGAGGUGGGAUUCAGUUAGUGAGGCAUAUUAAAUGAAUAUUAAUGACCAGAGUUUAAUUAAAUUCACACUUAAUACUAAAUUGAAAAGAAGAUGCAAACAAUACAGGAAAAAUAAAGAGAAGGGAAAUCUUAUGGACAAGACAAAAUAAACUGAGGAUCAACCUGAGAAAACUGAUACAAGAGGGGGAAAAUAUUGUCAUGCCAAAGGCAGCUAUUCCAUAGGAGGAAAAAAAAUGCUGCAGAGAGACUUAAGAAUGACAGUAAGUAGCACAAAGCUCCACAUUCUUUUCUUCUUCUUCUUCUCCUGCUCUUUCUUUUUCUUUGUGUAUCUGUAUUGAGAAAGUAUUGUGUCAUUGGGCUGUUUUGGGCACCACCCUAUGAUAUUUUGUUCCUAUAUUGAAGUUUUGUUAUUGAAAAUAAACUGAUUGGUUCAUUUAACUAAUUAUUCAAAGAUAAAAAAGCACUGUCUCAGAAUACUGGAAGAAACAAAAAUUAGAUAUACAAGUAGUUACCUUGAGACCACCUGAAGACAGAAGGGAUUUUAUUUUGGACAGUAAAAAAUAUAUCAUUUAUAGGUAAAAAGAUGAAAGUAGAAGAAAAUAUCAUACGGGUUCCCUUUUAGGGUGGAAAUAUAUGUGUUUGGGUGGGGUCAGGGACUAUGAGGAAUGAUUGUACCUGACUGAGGCUUACCUUACCAAAAAAACCCCUAAAUUUUAUUGCCAUCAGUAAUUUCCUUGACAGGGGACAAACACUUGCAACAGGCCAAACAUUUUUUGACUCUGAGUCCCACAGUUCUAUAACACAAAUCACUCCUACACAUAAAAUGCCAGUCAGGAGUCUAAGUGUCAGGUUUAUGUGGUUCUAUAGUCUGCUAGGAGACAAGAUAUUCUAAAUUUCAUUAAUUUUUCUUUGUUAGUCAACCAUGUGUUCUAUAGUACUUGUAGCCUUAUCGCUGGCUGGGAAUACACAGAGGUGAUCCUUGAAAAUUUGAAAGCUCUUUGAAAGUUUGUUUUUCUUAUUAUAUAGCUUUGGGGCACAAGACACUGAACAUUUCAACAUGAAAGUUAAAAGGGGAACUCAUUUGUUAUUUUCUGCAUCUUACUGAUGUCCAUUCCUUCAUAGGCCCCCUCUGAUUUAUCAUCCUAAAGCUACAGAAUGGCUGUAGUUGAUGUUCUGUCAAAGUUGCAAAGAGAAUAGCUUACAGCUGUGCAUGGAUUGUAUUGAAAAAACCCAGCAUCCUAUGAUUUUACUUGUUCCUUCCUAGAUAGAGCUUAGCAGCCUGGGCAAAUAAUGCAUUUUUUUGUCUCAAACAUAAUGUGUCCAAAUGAGUAUUUAGAAUUGAUAGUUCAUACAAGAAAGUUAUACUGUAACUUAUGAGCUGAAAUGCACCUAUUGUUAUCUACUAGCUCUGUGUUUACUACCUAACACUCAUAUUUUCUUUCUCCAUUUGCUUCUCAUAUUUGUGGCUCUCAACAUGGUGUCCUUCUUUGGUCCAAAUUAAGGGUGCAUAGAACUUGAGAUCAGCCUCCAAAAUGAGGCAUUAGUCACAUAAAGUAAAUCGAAAAAGGAUUGAAAAUCCUAAUGGAUCUGCCCCAGCUGUGAAGAUGCCACAACAUUUCCCUUGCUGAAGGCUCACAGAAACCAAAGCAGUGUCCAUGCUAAGAACUACAGUUUACCUGGGCUCUAUCUCACUGCAGCAUCUGAGGAGGAUUCAGAGGUAAACAAAUGUUGAACUUCCAAUGGGCCAUCAGAACUUUAACUGCAGUUAUUCUCUAGCACAAGUCUACAUAAGGAAACUAUGACUGAAGUCAGUGCAGCCAUGCACAUGUAAAGACAAGACAGGUGUUAUGAGUCCAAACAGAUAUAGACAUAUUGCUACAGGGCUGCUCCUGUUGACCAGAGCAAACCCAGAUCUGCACCUUCUCCCUCCUUCAAUAUGGUGUGGAAACAGGACCAUGGCUGACUGGCCAGUGUUCCCCAAGUGAACCUUCUAUGUCAGUGGCUCAUAGACUGGAGCAGCUGCAAUCUGUUAGUAUCCACAGAUCAAAAGUGAAAAAAAUGAGUUUACUGAAAAGGACAAUACAGCAAAAUCAGGAAGAGGCAGGACAUGGACAGACAUAUCAAAAAUUCUUUUUUGUUUGCCCCUGUUAUGAACUGGAAUUGUUUGGGGGUGCCUCUGUAGACACAUUCAUCAGGAUUCACAGAAAUGUAGGGUUUUAAAUCCUGUAAGUUUCUGCUUUGUUAGGGAAGAUGGGAAGGCUGCAGGCAUCUGUCCAGCAAGUGAGCACCCAAAGCCAGCAUGAUGGGCUGCUGUGGGCAUCUGCUCCCGUUCCUGGCUCUUUUGUGGCCUGGACACUACCUGGGGACUCCUGUGCAGAGGGAAGGCAUCUGAGGGGAUACUCCUGCAGACUUCCCUGAACUCUGUUCACAGAAAAAAGGAGCAACGUUUCCCUUUGUGUAAAAGAAGCCCUCCCUCUACAUCUGUCCAGGCAUUGCUCCCAGAGGGGAUGGAAAGGCAAACUGGUUCUGGUCCUGGAAAGGAUGCCAGCUGUAUUACCCAACCCCUUGGCUCAACUACAGAUGCAUCAGGCUUAUGUAUAAUUGUGUUUGUCCAGUGUGAGUGAAGAUAAAAUGCUGAUGAGUUUGGUGUGAGAGCCCAGGCCACUUUUUCCCUUUGGCUGAGUAUUAACUGAGGCCAGACACCAUCCUGCCACUUCCCAGGCUGCCAUUCACACUGGGGAUGCUUCCCCUUUUCUGCUGAGUUUUCAAAGCAUUUGGUGAAGGACCUGCUAUUGAAUUAGUGCAAUGUGAUCAGCAGAGGUGAGAGACAAUCUUUUCAUAGCAACCUGUGGCAUUAAAGUUGAGAUACCAUCUUUCUUCAUUGGAUUAAUUUAAAACUUUAUUCUUUCCUUUCUGAGGUUGAGGGCACCUCAAGAAAAAUGAAACAGAGAUCUGCUGCCACCUUCUGACCACGUGGAAAUCCUUCCAUGUCCUCAGCACAGCAAACAGCGCUGUGGAACAGAAGUGGCUGCAUUUCACUGAAUGGUGAAAAUACCCUUCUGCCAUUUGCAGCUGGGUAUUAUUAGUUUUCAUAAAUACAUUAAAAAAUAUAUUAAAGGAAAUAUUUGGUGAAGGUUUCCCACUCAUGUAUAUACUGUAACAAACAAUCACAUGCCCAGCUCUAGUGUAGGCAAAGUUUCCACUGAGCUCAGUGGAAAGUGUUAGAGGUGGAAAUACUUUUCUGUGGCAUGCCCAAAACUGGAUACAGGCACAGAAUUCACCUUACUCUGAACAAUCACAAGAACUUUAAAUGAGUCACUGCUUUAAUUUUUUAAGAACUUUAACUUAUGUUAAUAAUUUUGAAUUUUUUGACAUGGCAGAGAUGGAAAAGGACAUGUGCACACAGCCUUUUCCCACUGAUGGAAUCUUUAAAACACUCAGGGGAGCUAUCCCUUGGCUGCUCCGUAAUCACGUAUUUCAAACCUUGAAUUACUCUGGUAUGUAAAUACUGAUAAUAGCUAAAUAUAAUUGAAAGUGGCCACAUACACAUGUGUACACCAUAUUCAUGUCAGGAUAUUUUCCUGGGUCUUCAGCACCAACUUUAGCACUUGAACUUUAGCACUUGAAACAAAGGCUCUUUUGUCUAUAAUCAAAGUAGCAGGCUGAACAGUAAUGUGCCCAGCCUCAAGAAAAGCAGCAUUAAGCAUUCACUUCUUAAAGGCAUCAAUAUUGCUAAUGAUUUCAAACCCCCAACUCAGGCCUCCUGAAACCAUUAGACAGGCCUUACAACCAUCAGUGCUAAGACAACAAUAAAAAUGUAAGGAGAUUUUUUAAAUUUUAUUUUAUUUAUUCAUCUGGUUUUUGAAUCUUUACAAGCCUGUGUUUUAAAUUUUCGUCAAUCAUCCUGGCAGACGGUUUUCAGGAGAAACUCAGCUUCUCCUGCUGCAAGAGCUGGGGCUUGAAAGGGGGCAAAAGUCACAUACACACAAAGAAAACUCAAUGCAAAUGUUAAAUAUCGAAUGGCCAUGAAAUCAGAACACUCAGUAGCAUGAGCAUAAACCUUUGUAGCCCACAAAAAUAUGCAGAAUAUCAGAGCCUGGUUAGGCUGACAUUUUAUCAUGGGUACUGCCCAUGCUGGGGGUGAGGGCAGCCCUGAUUCAGGCUGACUGCUUGGGCUCACAAGAGAUUUGCCAUCCUUACGUGGCCACUGACAGUAAGGCUCCUGCUGUCCUUUUGCAAAGCAACAAACCCUGGUACCUGGAAGGAAUACCCCUUGCAGCACCCCUGUUUAAGCAUUGGAAGUCCUUGUGUCCUCCCAUCUCCUGGCUCCAGCCCUGCCCCUUGCCCAAAGGCAAAGGUAGCUGGAUUGUAUUCUGCGUCUGAUCCAGCCACGAGGAAAAAACAUGCUUGAAGAGAAGUCCUUCUGCAUGCAAUCAGCAGCCUAAACCACAGAGAGAAAACUCUGCUUAUCUGACAGGCAACAUCAAGAAAACUGAACAUCAAAACUGAGCAUCUUCAGUGAGUUAGGUGGAGGGACUGGGGACCCUCAGGUUCUGUUGCAGGGCUUCACAGAGACUGAUAUUGAGAUAACGCUCCUUAGAAAGCAACCACCCUUAGAAAAUCAAAAACAGUGAUGAUCCCUAAAAGCAAAGCUCUGACAGUAUUAGUCUUUUCUGAAAAUCUCAGCAGGAGUUUUUAAUCAGGGUCAACCUUGAAAAGGAGAGACAAGUAAUGAUUUCCUACAGUCUGUAAAAUUCUGAUGAUGGUAAAGUAAACAUUGCUUUUACAGGGUUACAGAGUCAAUUUCCUAUCACUUUUCACUAGGACUAUUGUAGGGAAGCAUUUGGGUAACCACAUGUUGUGCUAAAAAAUCCUAAACACUAGCAAUAUUUCCUUUUUAGGAAAAGAGAGUUGUGAAUGAUUUAAAGCCUGAUUUGGUAAAUUAGGCCCUCUUUAGCUCUGAAAAGGAGUGGGGGAGAAGGGGGAGAGUACCAAAACUAUAUUGUACAUUACCAGAUUUCCAGGAUUCUGCAUUUUCUUACUCAUUAAACUUCACAUUGAAUAUGCAUCACUUCUCUGCACACAGUUCAAGCCCUAGGGAUUGUAGAGUUCAAAUAUAUUUUAAUUACGUUAUUUAUUAUUUAAAUUAUUUAAUUACAAAAAAUAACAGACUCUGCACAUGUUUGAAAAUGCCAUGAUGUACAACUAAAUCUUGAGUAAUUGUUAAAUUUCUUGCAGGCCUCCUGCUAGGAAGUACUGUUUUUCUUUAAAAGUGAGAACACUAUUAUAUCCGUCAGUGGAAAGUUUACACAUUGUAUUUCUUCUUUCAUAUGCCGUUAAACAUGAGGCUCUCUCAUUUCCCCCUUUCUUCAGAAGGCAGGAGACCCAUCUGGUAAUAUUCUGCAGAUCAGCAUUUCUUAAGGAGAGUUUGAUUUAAGUGGUGGUUUUGUUGAAGCAACGAAAAAGAAACUUAUGAACCUGGGUUAUAGUACUAUGUCUUGUGUUGUUAUUAAAGUUGCUCCAUGCUUGAUCCAUGCCAAAUAUAGACCUGUCUUUAGGCUGUGGAAAGUAAGAAGUAUUCUCUUCUCAUCACACUGUGUUUUGGAAUUGAAGACAAGAAAAAAUUGUCCAGUGUUUGCAUAGCUUUUGAAUUGCCAUCUAAUUUUGUUUGUUGACAAUU